UCUUCUCUGCAGGAAGAAUGUUUCCUGAACCUAGAGGCUCCUAUAUCAAGAGUAUGUGGGUAUGACACACCGUUUCCUCAUAUUUUCGAACCAUUCUACAUCCCAGACAAAUGGAAAUGCUAUGAUGCCCUUCGAAAAAUGAUCAACUACUGAUCAUAUUGAAAAACUGGAAGAUUGUGACUAGACACGGAAAUAUUUUUCUGAAAAUUCUUUUUAUUUCCUCAUACUUCUCUCUUCUUGAAAAUAGAGUUUUUACGAACUGAACCACCAUGGAUAUUGGCUGAAAAUUUUUAAUUAGUUAUUGUAUUAACACAUAUGAAUUGAUGAUUUCCAUUAAGAGUGUCUGAAUAACUUUUUAAAAUGCUUCACUUGGUAGUCUUAUAAAUUCCAUUUAAUUACAUCUGUAAAUAUUGGGCAUGGGGCAGUAUUCAAUAAAGCAAAAUCAGAUUGUCCUCA